rnacentral:rRNA from 1 species
CCUAACACAUGCAAGUCGAGCGGUAGCACAGAGAGCUUGCUCUCGGGUGACGAGCGGCGGACGGGUGAGUAAUGUCUGGGAAACUGCCUGAUGGAGGGGGAUAACUACUGGAAACGGUAGCUAAUACCGCAUAAUGUCGCAAGACCAAAGUGGGGGACCUUCGGGCCUCAUGCCAUCAGAUGUGCCCAGAUGGGAUUAGCUAGUAGGUGGGGUAACGGCUCACCUGAGGCGACGACCCUAGCUGGUCUGAGAGGAUGACCAGCCACACUGGAACUGAGACACGGUCCAGACUCCUACGGGAGGCAGCAGUGGGGAAUAUUGCACAAUGGGCGCAAGCCUGAUGCAGCCAUGCCGCGUGUGUGAAGAAGGCCUCGGGUUGUAAAGCACUUUCAGCGG